rnacentral:misc_RNA from 1 species
UAAAUAAAAAUCGAUGUGUCGCUUUUCUUGUGACGCUUCGGAAUUGGGUCAUCUUGACCUCUGGGUUAAGAGACCUAAAAUUGAUACCUUUCCGAGCAUCUUGGACGUACGUAACCUUUCAAGUGUUCGGAUCUCUUUAUUAGGUAUGACCAUGUUGUGCGUGGUUCUCGUACCUAUAACGUGUAUUUCUCAUA